AUUGAACGCUGGCGGCCGGCCUAACACAUGCAAGUCGAACGAGUGGCGGACGGGUGAGUAAUGUCUGGUAAACUGCCUGAUGGAGGGGGCUAACUACUGGAACCGGUAGCUAAUACCGCAUACCAUCAGAUGUGCCCAUAUGGGAUUAGCUAGUUGGUGGGGUAACGGCUCACCAAGGCGACGAUCCCUAGCUGGUCUGAGAGGAUGACCAGCCACACGGGAACUGGGACACGGUCCAGACUCCUACGUGAGGCAUCAGUGGGGAAUAUUGCACAAUGGGCGAAAGCCUGAUGCAGCCAUGCCGCGUGUAUGAAGAAGGCCGUCGGGUUGUAAAGUACUUCGAGCGGGUAGGCGUUACCCGCAGAAGAAGUACCGGCUAACUCCGUGCCAGCAGCCGCGGUAAUAC
rnacentral:rRNA from 1 species